rnacentral:lncRNA from 1 species
GUAGUUAGCAGGCGUCACGCUUCAGCGUUUGUGGACGCCCGCAGAGGAAAAGUGAGAAUUCCAGGGCGCAACCUGGAGCGGUGUAGUCCUUAGACCCCGGGAGACAAGAGGAUGAUUGGAAGAUGGAGGGCAGUUUGUCUCUGUCUUAGAAAAUGAAUGAACAAAAGAUUCCCGAAGACGUAAGAACAGAGUAUCAGAACAACAAAAUGAUUCAUCACGGUCACAUAAUUUUGUCAACGGCAAUACUCAGGCUUGAUCCAGAUUUUUAACUUCAACCCAAAGAGAUCACCGGAGACACUAUAUUGAGCAGACAAGGGCACACAGAGCAGCGCCAAGUCUAAGAAUCCCAGGACACUGGAUUGAGCAAGUCGGCACACAGAGGAUAAGUGGAGGUUUAAGUGCCUGGUGGAUUUGUACCAACCAAUCAGAGAAGAGUGUGCAAAUAAACUAGGUUGAGUUGGAUGCUGUUGUAUAGUUGUGAAUGCAUCAGGAGCAAAUAUCUGUGCAAAGCAGCAACCAGGAGCUAAGCACUACUCCAAGUCACCUCUGGACCUGGGGAGGAAAGUUCCAGGAGACAAGCAGGUUCCAGAAGGCCACCAUGGGCUCAGAACAAUACAUCGAUGCCUCCAGCUUUCCCUCCCUUAAGCCUCAAGAACCAUUCUUCUGUAACAAGCUGCCAUCUGUCUCUGAGAAAUUCGUCCUUCUUUUAGAUUAAUCAAGAGUUUGUGCUUCUUUAUUCAGGAGCAAAACCAAAAUAAAAUAUUCUGAAUUUAAACUGCAGACUAGAGUCAGCAGGAACACCCUCAAUGCUUAGCAGCAAGCGAAGAGCCAAGAUAGGAUAGCUCCAUAAAAGACAAGUGCCCAGUAAACUUGAAUUUCAGAUACACAGCAAAUAAUUUUAAAGUAUAGUAUGUUAUAAACAUUGCACAUAACAUACUUAUAGUUUAAA